CUAUUCGCUGAGGAUUCUGGUCUCGUACCAGAGCCGGGUUGGGUUAAAGGAAGCUUCUAAUCCUAAAAGUCUAACUUUUGAUUAGAUCUCAAAUCAGGUAGGACUACCCGCUGAACUUAAGCAUAUCAAUAAGCGGAGGAAAAGAAACUAACAAGGAUUCCCCUAGUAGCGGCGAGCGAAGCGGGAAGAGCUCAAAUUUAUAAUCUGGCACUUUCAGUGUCCGAGUUGUAAUCUCUAGAAGUGUUUUCCGCGUUGGACCGCACACAAGUCUGUUGGAAUACAGCGGCACAGUGGUGACACCCCCGUACACGGUGCGGACGCCCAGCGCUUUGUGAUACACUUUCGAAGAGUCGAGUUGUUUGGGAAUGCAGCUCAAAUUGGGUGGUAAAUUCCAUCUAAAGCUAAAUAUUGGCGAGAGACCGAUAGCGAACAAGUACCGUGAGGGAAAGAUGAAAAGCACUUUGGAAAGAGAGUUAACAGUACGUGAAAUUGUUGGAAGGGAAACGCUUGAAGUCAGACUUGCUUGCCGGAGCUUGCUUCGGUUUGCAGGCCAGCAUCAGUUUUCCGGGGUGGAUAAUGGCGGUUAGAAGGUAGCAGCUUCAGCUGUGUUAUAGCUUUCCGCUGGAUACAUCCUGGGGGACUGAGGAACGCAGCGUGCUUUUAGCGGGGGUUCGACCUCUCACGCUAGGAUGCUGGU
rnacentral:rRNA from 1 species